UAGUUUAAGGAAAUAAUCUUAAAUGUAUUCUGCCCAAUGAUUUUUUAUUUAAUGGCCGCAGUACCUUGACUGUGCUAAGGUAGCAUAAUCAAUUGGCUUUUAAUUAAAGUCUGGAAUGAAAGGAAAAAUGAAGUAAUUCUGUCUUAAAGAAUAUUUUUUUAAUUUAUUUAAAUGAUGAAAAUAUCAUUUUUUAGAAAAAAGACGAGAAGACCCUUAGAGUUUUUAUAAUUUUUUUUGUUGGGGCGACAAGUAAACAAUUAAACUUUACUAAUUUUUUAAAUCGAUUAUUUAAUAAGAUUGAUUAAACUACCUUAGGGAUAACAGCAUUAUAUUAUUUUAUGAUUGUGACCUCGAUGUUGGACUAGGAACUUUAUGGCUAGCCGUCAUAAAAGAUUUGUUCUGUUCGAACAAUUUUAUCCUAC
rnacentral:rRNA from 1 species